GAACAUGAAGCUCUGAGGAUGCAGGAACAGAGACCAGACUCUCCUGGACCCAGCUGUGUGUCCAUGAAGAGUGACCGGUCUAUGGGUCGCCCUGUGAACUUUAAAGCUGGACGUCCUGCUGAUGGAAGGAUGCAGGAACACAGACCAGACUCUCCUGGACCCAGCUGUGUGUCCAUGAAGAGUGACCGGUCUAUGGGUCGCCCUGUGAACUUUAAAGCUGGACGUCCUGCUGAUGG